CACGAACCGUACAAACGUUAUUCGGAAUUACUGGGCUUAAAGGGUUUGUAGGCGGCCUUGUCAGUCAGGUGUGAAAUCCCUCGGCUCAACCGAGGAACGGCGCUUGAUACUGCAAGGCUUGAGGGAGACAGGGGUAAGCGGAACUGAUGGUGGAGCGGUGAAAUGCGUUGAUAUCAUCAGGAACACCGGUGGCGAAAGCGGCUUACUGGGUCUCUUCUGACGCUGAGGAACGAAAGCUAGGGUAGCGAACGGG
rnacentral:rRNA from 1 species